UCCUACGGGAGGCAGCAGUGGGGAAUCUUGGACAAUGGGCGCAAGCCUGAUCCAGCCAUGCCGCGUGAGUGAUGAAGGCCUUAGGGUCGUAAAGCUCUUUCGCCAGAGAUGAUAAUGACAGUAUCUGGUAAAGAAACCCCGGCUAACUCCGUGCCAGCAGCCGCGGUAAUACGGAGGGGGUUAGCGUUGUUCGGAAUUACUGGGCGUAAAGCGCGCGUAGGCGGAWUAGUAAGUUAGAGGUGAAAUCCCGGGGCUCAACCCCGGAACUGCCUUUAAUACUGCUAGUCUUGAGUUCGAGAGAGGUGAGUGGAAUUCCGAGUGUAGAGGUGAAAUUCGUAGAUAUUCGGAGGAACACCAGUGGCGAAGGCGGCUCACUGGCUCGAUACUGACGCUGAGGUGCGAAAGUGUGGGGAGCAAACAGGAUUAGAUACCCUGGUAGUCCACACCGUAAACGAUGAAUGCCAGUCGUCGGGUAGCAUGCUAUUCGGUGACACACCUAACGGAUUAAGCAUUCCGCCUGGGGAGUACGGUCGCAAGAUUAAAACUCAAAG
rnacentral:rRNA from 1 species